AUUAGAUACCCUGGUAGUCCACGCCCUAAACGAUGUCUACUAGUUGUCGGGUUUUAAUUAACUUGGUAACGCAGCUAACGCGUGAAGUAGACCGCCUGGGGAGUACGGUCGCAAGAUUAAAACUCAAAGGGAAUUGACGGGGACCCGCACAAGCGGUGGAUGAUGUGGAUUAAUUCGAUGCAACGCGAAAAACCUUACCUACCCUUGACAUGUCAGGAAGUCUGGAGAGAUCUGGAUGUGCCCGAAAGGGAACCUGAACACAGGUGCUGCAUGGCUGUCGUCAGCUCGUGUCGUGAGAUGUUGGGUUAAGUCCCGCAACGAGCGCAACCCUUGUCAUUAGUUGCUACGCAAGAGCACUCUAAUGAGACUGCCGGUGACAAACCGGAGGAAGGUGGGGAUGACGUCCAGUCCUCAUGGCCCUUAUGGGUAGGGCUUCACACGUCAUACAAUGGAUGGUACAAAGGGUCGCCAACCCGCGAGGGGGAGCCAAUCCCAUAAAGCCAUUCGUAGUCCGGAUCGCAGUCUGCAACUCGACUGCGUGAAGUCGGAAUCGCUAGUAAUCGUGGAUCAGAAUGUCACGGUGAAUACGUUCCCGGGUCUUGUACACACCGCCCGUCACACCAUGGGAGCGGGUUCUGCCAGAAGUAGUUAGCCUAACCUGCAAAGGAGGGCGAUUACCACGGCAGGGUUCGUGACUGGGGUGAAGUCGUAACAAGGUGACC
rnacentral:rRNA from 1 species